rnacentral:rRNA from 1 species
UAGGGAAUCUUCCACAAUGGGCGCAAGCCUGAUGGAGCAACACCGCGUGAGUGAAGAAGGGUUUCGGCUCGUAAAGCUCUGUUGUUAAAGAAGAACACGUAUGAGAGUAACUGUUCAUACGUUGACGGUAUUUAACCAGAAAGUCACGGCUAACUACGUGCCAGCAGCCGCGGUAAUACGUAGGUGGCAAGCGUUAUCCGGAUUUAUUGGGCGUAAAGAGAGUGCAGGCGGCUUUCUAAGUCUGAUGUGAAAGCCUUCGGCUUAACCGGAGAAGUGCAUCGGAAACUGGAUAACUUGAGUGCAGAAGAGGGUAGUGGAACUCCAUGUGUAGCGGUGGAAUGCGUAGAUAUAUGGAAGAACACCAGUGGCGAAGGCGGCUACCUGGUCUGCAACUGACGCUGAGACUCGAAAGCAUGGGUAGCGAACAGGAUUAGAUACCCUGGUAGUCCAUGCCGUAAACGAUGAGUGCUAGGUGUUGGAGGGUUUCCGCCCUUCAGUGCCGGAGCUAACGCAUUAAGCACUCCGCCUGGGGAGUACGACCGCAAGGUU